GCCGGCAUGGUGGAAUAGGUAGACACAAGGGACUUAAAAUCCCUCGGAGUAAAAUCCGUACCGGUUCGAUUCCGGUUGCCGGCACCA
rnacentral:tRNA from 1 species